UUGUCCUGCGGAGUAUGACGCCUGGCUUCACGGCCGGCUGAAUAUUUUUUUCCACCCAUGUCUUUUGCGCACUUGUUGUUUCCUGGGCGGGCUCGCCCGCCACCAGGACCAAACCAUAAACCUUUUUUUCUUAUGCAGUUUCCAUCAGCGUCAGUAAAAACAAUGUAAUUAUUUACAACUUUCAACAACGGAUCUCUUGGUUCUGGCAUCGAUGAAGAACGCAGCGAAAUGCGAUACGUAGUGUGAAUUGCAGAAUUCAGUGAAUCAUCGAAUCUUUGAACGCACAUUGCGCCCUUUGGUAUUCCAAAGGGCAUGCCUGUUCGAGCGUCAUUUGUACCUUCAAGCUUUGCUUGGUGUUGGGCGUCUUUUUGUCUCUCCUUUGCGGGAGACUCGCCUUAAAACGAUUGGCAGCCGGCCUACUGGUUUCGGAGCGCAGCACAUUUUUUGCGCUUUGUAUCAGGAGAAAAGGACGGUACUCCAUCAAGACGUUUACAUUUUUCACUUUUGACCUCGGAUCAGGUAGGGAUACCCGCUGAACUUAAGCAUAUCAAUAAGUACGAGGAAACGGAGGAGCAUAUCAAUGAGCGGAUGGAAUUCCGGCCGGCUGAAAUAUUUUUUUCACCCAUGUCUUUUGCGCACUUGUUGUUUCCUGGGCGGGCUCGCCCGCCACCAGGACCAAACCAUAAAACCUUUUUUUUCUUAUGCAGUUUUCAUCAGCGUCGUAAAAACAAUGUAAUUAUUUACAACUUUCACAACGGAUCUCUGGGUUCUGGCAUCGAUGAAGAAGCAGCGAAAUGCGAUACGUAGUGUGAAAUUGCAGAAAUCGUGAAAUCAUCAAAUCUUUUGAACGCACAUUGCGCCUUUUGGUAUUCAAGGAGCAUGCUGUUUGAGCGUCAUUUGUACCUUCAGCUUUGCUUGGGUGGUUGGGGCGUCUUUUUGUCUCUCUUGCGGGGAGAACUGCCUUAAAAGAAUGGGCAGCGGCCUUACUGGGUUUCGGAGACGCACACAAUUUUUGCGCUUGGUAUCAAGGAAGAAAAGGAACGGUACUCAUCAGAACAUUUAACUUUUUUCUUUGGACCUCGGAAUCAGGUAGGCAUACCGCCUGAACUUAAGCAUCAUAACGCGGAGAAGAAA
rnacentral:rRNA from 1 species